UGACAUGGAGUAGAUGUGUGUUUAGGGCUUU
rnacentral:piRNA from 1 species